GUAAUGCCUCACGCCCGUGGGGUAGGACAGGUGUAAUGGGGGACACCUGUUCACACUAAAAGCGUCC
rnacentral:sRNA from 1 species